rnacentral:rRNA from 1 species
GCAGGGUGCAAGCGUUAAUCGGAAUUACUGGGCGUAAAGCGCGCGUAGGUGGUUUUGUAAGUUGGAGGUGAAAUCCCCGGGCUCAACCUGGGAACUGCCUCCAAAACUGCAUGACUAGAGUACGGUAGAGGGUAGUGGAAUUUCCUGUGUAGCGGUGAAAUGCGUAGAUAUAGGAAGGAACACCAGUGGCGAAGGCGACUACCUGGACUGAUACUGACACUGAGGUGCGAAAGCGUGGGGAGCAAAC